GCCUAUCAUGCAAGUCGAGCGGAUCUUCAUUAGCUUGCUUUUGAAGAUCAGCGGCGGACGGGUGAGUAACACGUGGGCAACCUGCCUGUAAGACUGGGAUAACUUCGGGAAACCGGAGCUAAUACCGGAUAAUCCUUUCCCUCUCAUGAGGGAAAGCUGAAAGACGGUUUCGGCUGUCACUUACAGAUGGGCCCGCGGCGCAUUAGCUAGUUGGUGAGGUAACGGCUCACCAAGGCAACGAUGCGUAGCCGACCUGAGAGGGUGAUCGGCCACACUGGGACUGAGACACGGCCCAGACUCCUACGGGAGGCAGCAGUAGGGAAUCUUCCGCAAUGGACGAAAGUCUGACGGAGCAACGCCGCGUGAACGAUGAAGGCUUUCGGGUCGUAAAGUUCUGUUGUCAGGGAAGAACAAGUACCGGAGUAACUGCCGGUACCUUGACGGUACCUGACCAGAAAGCCACGGCUAACUACGUGCCAGCAGCCGCGGUAAUACGUAGGUGGCAAGCGUUGUCCGGAAUUAUUGGGCGUAAAGCGCGCGCAGGCGGUUCCUUAAGUCUGAUGUGAAAGCCCCCGGCUCAACCGGGGAGGGUCAUUGGAAACUGGGGAACUUGAGUGCAGAAGAGGAGAGCGGAAUUCCACGUGUAGCGGUGAAAUGCGUAGAGAUGUGGAGGAACACCAGUGGCGAAGGCGGCUCUCUGGUCUGUAACUGACGCUGAGGCGCGAAAGCGUGGGGAGCGAACAGGAUUAGAUACCCUGGUAGUCCACGCCGUAAACGAUGAGUGCUAAGUGUUAGAGGGUUUCCGCCCUUUAGUGCUGCAGCAAACGCAUUAAGCACUCCGC
rnacentral:rRNA from 1 species